UACGGGGGGUGCGAGCGUUGUCCGGAAUCACUGGGCGUAAAGGGCGCGUAGGUGGCCUGGUAAGUCUGUGGUGAAAGCCCGGAGCUCAACUCCGGGUCUGCCGCGGAUACUGCGAGGCUUGAGUGCUGUAGAGGGGGGUAGAAUGCCGGGUGUAGCGGUGGAAUGCGUAGAGAUCCGGAGGAAGACCGGUGGCGAAGGCGGCCUGCUGGGCAGUUACUGACACUGAGGCGCGACAGCGUGGGGAGCAAACAGG
rnacentral:rRNA from 1 species